rnacentral:rRNA from 1 species
UAGGGAAUCUUCGGCAAUGGGGGGAACCCUGACCGAGCAACGCCGCGUGAGUGAAGAAGGUUUUCGGAUCGUAAAGCUCUGUUGUUAAGGAAGAACGAGUGUGAGAAUGGAAAGUUCAUGCUGUGACGGUACUUAACCAGAAAGGGACGGCUAACUACGUGCCAGCAGCCGCGGUAAUACGUAGGUCCCGAGCGUUGUCCGGAUUUAUUGGGCGUAAAGCGAGCGCAGGCGGUUAGAAAAGUCUGAAGUGAAAGGCAGUGGCUCAACCAUUGUAGGCUUUGGAAACUGUUUAACUUGAGUGCAGAAAGGGGGAGUGGAAUUCCAUGUGUAGCCGUGAAAUGCGUAGAUAUAUGGAGGAACACCGGUGGCGAAAGCGGCUCUCUGGUCUGUAACUGACGCUGAGGCUCGAAAGCGUGGGGGGCGAACAGGA